CGCCUGUUUAUCAAAAACAUGUCUUUUUGAAUAAUAAUUUAAAGUCUAGUCUGCCCACUGAUAUUAAAUUAAAGGGCUGCAGUAUAUUGACUGUACAAAGGUAGCCUAAUCAUUAGUCUUUUAAUUGAUGACUUGUAUGAAUGAUUGGAUAAGAUAUAAACUGUCUCUUAAUAAAUUUAUAGAAUUUAAUUUUUUAUUUAAAAAGUUAAAAUAAUUUUAAAAGACGAGAAGACCCUAUAGAGUUUAAUAAUUAUUUAUAUUAAAAUUAUAAAUAUAAAUUUAAUUAAAAUUUAUUUAAUUAUUUUAUUGGGGUGAUAAAAAAAUUAAAAAAACUUUUUUUAAAAUUUAACAUAGAUAAUUGAUUAUUUGAUCCAAUUUUUUUGAUUAUAAGAUUAAAUUACCUUAGGGAUAACAGCGUAAUUUUUUUUUUAGUUCAUAUAAAAAAAAAAGUUUGCGACCUCGAUGUUGGAUUAAGAUAAAAUUUAAAUGCAAAAGUUUAAAAUUUUGAUCUGUUCGAUCAUUAAAAUCUUACAUGAUCUGAGUUCAAACCGGAG
rnacentral:rRNA from 1 species